GAUCAACGCGUUACGUCCGAUGGAUGGUCGUGUAUAGUGUGAGGCGCGUUGCCUAUAUCGAUCGUUUGUUGUGUUGUGCUAGUUCUUCUUCUUUUUCUACAUCGCCUUAUUAUGAUUAUAAUUUAUUUAUUUAUUUUUCCAAAGCGUGCCCGUGUCUUGUGGUAGUGGCGUUGUUGUCAGUCCCGUGUUGAAGAAAAUCGGGAAGUUGCACAAAGUAAACUGCGGAAAAGACAAACAAUUUCAAAAAAAGAAUAACAAAAAGUUUUACGGAAUUUUUUGCAAGAUUUAUAUGGAAAAAACUGCAGAGAUUUAUGGUGUAAAGCAUCUUUAAGUUGAAAAAUUCCUUAAAAGGAUAUACCUACUAGUGAGAGUGUUGAUUAUUGUGAAAAAGAGUGUGUGUACCUAACAAGUGAACCAAGAGAGGCGCCAUAAAUGCUGCAUACCACAAACAGCAACAACAACCUUGGUGAGCUCCCACUAUGCUAAUGUUGUUUAAAUGAGGGCCCUAUAAUGCUUGCUGGUCGAUGUAGUGGUCAAUGUUCUAAGCGAACAUUUUUGCCUUUCAUUUGUUUACAUUGAUGUGUGGGUGUGGAAGAAGGCAGUGAACAGC
rnacentral:sRNA from 1 species